rnacentral:rRNA from 1 species
UACGUAGGGGGGCGAGCGUUGUCCGGAUUUAUUGGGCGUAAAGAGCGUGUAGGCGGCCAGGUAGGUCUGCUGUGAAAACUCGAGGCUCAACCUCGAGACGUCGGCGGAAACCAUCUGGCUAGAGUCCGGAAGAGGAGAGUGGAAUUCCUGGUGUAGCGGUGAAAUGCGCAGAUAUCAGGAGGAACACCGGUGGCGAAGGCGGGUCUCUGGGCAGUAACUGACGCUGAGGAGCGAAAGCGUGGGGAGCGAACAGG